GUCGAGAAUCUUUCACAAUGGGGGCAACACUGAUGGAGCGACGCCGCGUGGAGGAUAAGGUCUUCGGAUUGUAAACUCCUGUCAUGCGUGAACAAGGUUGCUUGGUUAAUACCUGGGCAAAUUGAUGGUAACGCAAGAGGAAGAGACGGCUAACUCUGUGCCAGCAGCCGCGGUAAUACAGAGGUCUCAAGCGUUGUUCGGAAUCACUGGGCGUAAAGGGUGCGUAGGUGGCGUGGUAAGUCAGAUGUGAAAGCCCGGGGCUCAACCUCGGAACUGCAUCCGAUACUGCCAUGCUAGAGUACUGGAGAGGUGACUAGAAUUCUCGGUGUAGCAGUGAAAUGCGUAGAUAUCGAGAGGAAUACCAAAGGCGUAGGCAGGUCACUGGACAGUUACUGACACUGAGGCACGAAGGCCAGGGGAGCGAACGGGAUUAGAAACCCCGGUAGUCC
rnacentral:rRNA from 1 species